AUGGGAGGGGGUUUGGGGGCACUGGGAGGGACUGGGGGGUCUGGGAUAAACUGGGAGGGACUGGGAGGGGACUGGGAGGGAAUUGGGAGGGACUGGGAGGGAUUGAAGGGGACUGGGAGAGAAGUUGGGGGGACUGGGAUGGGAUUGGGGGGGACUGGGAGGGAACCGGGAGGGACUGGGGGGGAACUGGGAGAGGGUUUGGACAAACUGGUUUAUACUGGGAUGCACUGGGACUGCACUGGGAGGCCCUCCCAGUUCCGCGAUUUGGGGCGGGGUCUGAGAUGUGACCCCGUUGACCCCUCCCCCACCUCACCGACCCCUCCCCCCCCCCUCAAGCCAACACCACCGACCCCUCCCCCAACGGCCUGCGCUGUUAUGGCUGCCCCGAGUCCGGGCCCUGCCCCCCGACCACCAUCGUCCAUUGCUACGGCCACCUCCGCGCCUGCUUCCACGGCAACGUCACCUUGCGCGCAGGUGAGCCCCGAAACCCCGCCCCCACCGCCGCCGCCCCGCCCCCCGCCCGCCCUGACCCCGCCCCCUCCGCAGGUAACGCCACCUUGUGGCGGGAACUGCGCGGCUGCGCCCCCGACGGCGACUGCGGCCCGGAGCGGCGCGGCGACGCCGACGCCUCGCUCGCCGGCUCCUGCUGCCGCGGCGACCUCUGCAACGGCAAGAUGGCCGAGCAGAGCCUCUUCGCGCCCGACCUGCCCCGCCUGGAGCUGCUGCCGCACGGCCACGCCGCCACGGCACCGCCCGACAACGCCACGGCGGAUGGCGGCAGGGGGAGAAACGGGACCUAUGGCAAGAUGGCCGCCACCGGCCGUGGUGGCGGUGUCAAUAUGGCCGUCGGUGAGCACGCGGAUGAUGGUGAUGCCAAAACAGCCGCGCCCGGGAAGGACGCGGCCACCGGCGGGAAGAGGGCCGCUGGUGCCAAGAUGGCUGCCGGUGGCAAGAUGGUCACCGGGGGUAAAAUGGCUGAAGGGGACAAGAUUGGUGAUGGGGACAAGAUGGCUGCCAGUGGCACAAUGGGUGAUGGAGACAAGAUGGCUGACAGGGACAAGAUGGCUGAUAGGGACAAGAUGGCCACUGGUGGCACAAUGGGUGAUGGAGACAAGAUGGCAGACAGGGGCAAGAUGGCUGCCAGUGGCACAAUGGGUGAUGGAGACAAGAUGGCAGACAGGGGCAAGAUGGCCGCCGGUGGUAAAAUGGGUGAUGGAGACAAGAUGGCUGACGGAACCAAGAUGGCUGACGGAACCAAGAUGGCUGACAGAAACAAUAUGGCUGACGGAAACAAUAUGGCUGACGGAGACAAGAUGGCUGACGGAAACAAUAUGGCCGCCGGUCACAUGGCCCCCAGGCGGCCAAUGGGGCACCAGGAUGGGAUCAAGGGGCCGGUGGGGCGGGGCCAAUCGCUGGGCGGGCCCGGGUGGCUCCUCCCCUUCCUGCUGUGGCCCCUCCUCCGCUGAGGGCGGGGCUUGUUCUGCAAUAAAUGGGUGUGGUCAAAGCGCCGCUGCCGGAGUCGUUUUUCUGGGGGGAAAAAUGGAGAUUUUGGAGAGGAAUUUGGCGGGAAAAAGUCGUUAA
ensembl:lncRNA